GACGAACGCUGGCGGCGUGCUUAACACAUGCAAGUCGAACGAUGAAGGAGAGCUUGCUCUCCGGAUUAGUGGCGAACGGGUGAGUAACACGUGACUAACCUGCCCCUUUCUCUGGGAUAACGCUCCGAAAGGAGUGCUAAUACCGGAUACGAACUCUGAACACAUGUUCGGAGUUGGAAAGUUUUUCGGAAAGGGAUGGAGUCGCGGCCUAUCAGCUUGUUGGUGAGGUAACGGCUCACCAAGGCGACGACGGGUAGCCGGCCUGAGAGGGCGACCGGCCACACUGGGACUGAGACACGGCCCAGACUCCUACGGGAGGCAGCAGUGGGGAAUAUUGCACAAUGGGCGAAAGCCUGAUGCAGCGACGCCGCGUGAGGGAUGAAGGUCUUCGGAUUGUAAACCUCUUUCAGUAGGGACGAAGCGAAAGUGACGGUACCUAAAGAAGAAGCACCGGCUAACUACGUGCCAGCAGCCGCCGCCG
rnacentral:rRNA from 1 species